GUUUGGAUCUUCUCCCUAGGAUGCUUUGUGAGAGGUCGAAGUCGUUUCCCGACCUGAGUGGAUACCAAAACAUCGUACGUUAUCGGAAAACUCUUGAGCUGUUUCAGCGCAUCUACGCACCUCACGACCUCCGGUCCAUUGGAGGAAACUCCGUCACUGGCAGCGGCAUCAGCGGCUUUCUUCGCAGCCUCAAACAACUCCACAAGCUCUCUCUCCAUCGAUUCUCAGAUCUCUAAUGCCCCGAAUAUCCGCCAGAAUGAUCUGGUGCGG
rnacentral:misc_RNA from 1 species